rnacentral:rRNA from 1 species
AUCAGCCAUGCCGCGUGAGUGAUGAAGGCCUUAGGGUUGUAAAGCUCUUUCACCGGUGAAGAUAAUGACGGUAUUCGGAGAAGAAGCCCCGGCUAACUUCGUGCCAGCAGCCGCGGUAAUCCUCAGGGGGCUAGCGUUGUUCGGAAUUACU